GCGUGGGCAGAAAUGUGAUGGCGUCGCCGCCGCUGAUUCUUGUCCGUGCGUCUCGGCGGAGGCGUCACGAAACGCCUUGGCCUCUGAAACAGAAUCGACGCACUCUGCUCGCGUGCUGAGAAACGCCGAUUUCUCGGAGCUUCGGGGAUAACGGGGACGCUUGUUAAUCUCUUGUUGACUCUUUCGGCCUUAUAUCACCACAUGUAGAUGUCACGGU
rnacentral:misc_RNA from 1 species